rnacentral:rRNA from 1 species
UACGAAGGGGACUAGCGUUGUUCGGAAUCACUGGGCGUAAAGCGCACGUAGGCGGAUCGUUAAGUCAGGGGUGAAAUCCUGGAGCUCAACUCCAGAACUGCCUUUGAUACUGAAGAUCUUGAGUCCGGGAGAGGUGAGUGGAACUGCGAGUGUAGAGGUGAAAUUCGUAGAUAUUCGCAAGAACACCAGUGGCGAAGGCGGCUCACUGGCCCGGUACUGACGCUGAGGCACGGAAAGCGUGGGGAGCAAACAGG